rnacentral:rRNA from 1 species
GACGAACGCUGGCGGCGUGCUUAACACAUGCCAGUCGAACGGAAAGGCCCUGCUUGCAGGGUACUCGAGUGGCGAACGGGUGAGUAACACGUGGGUGAUCUGCCCUGCACUUCGGGAUAAGCCUGGGAAACUGGGUCUAAUACCGGAUAGGAGCCAUUUUUAGUGUGAUGGUUGGAAAGUUUUUUCGGUGUAGGAUGAGCUCGCGGCCUAUCAGCUUGUUGGUGGGGUAAUGGCCUACCAAGGCGGCGACGGGUAGCCGGCCUGAGAGGGUGGACGGCCACAUUGGGACUGAGAUACGGCCCAGACUCCUAAGGGAGGCAGCAGGGGGGAAGAUUGCACAAUGGGCGCAAGCCUGAUGCAGCGACGCCGCGUGGGGGAUGACGGCCUUCGGGUUGGAAACUCCUUUCGCUAGGGACGAAGCUUUUUGUGACGGUACCUAGAUAAGAAGCACCGGCUAACUACGUG